rnacentral:rRNA from 1 species
UACGAAGGGGGGCAAGCGUUGUUCGGAAUUACUGGGCGUAAAGGGCGCGUAGGCGGCUCUUUAAGUCAGGCGUGAAAGCCCCGGGCUCAACCUGGGAACUGCGCUUGAGACUGGAGAGCUUGAGUUCGGGAGAGGUGAGUGGAAUUCCCAGUGUAGAGGUGAAAUUCGUAGAUAUUGGGAAGAACACCAGUGGCGAAGGCGGCUCACUGGACCGACACUGACGCUGAGGCGCGAAAGCGUGGGGAGCAAACAGGAUUAGAUACCCCGGUAGU